rnacentral:lncRNA from 1 species
AUGGUGGCCAGCGCCCUGGACCAGGGGUGCCUCGGCUCUGUCUCUCCGGUCGCCCUUAAUCCCCUCCUUCCUAUUAUGGUCAGUCUACCGAGCCCCCCCCCCCCAAGUGCUUCCCUGUCCCCAUUCCCAAGCAGCAGCUCUUUGCAAGGAAACGGGGUGGGGAGAAGGACUCGGCCUUUUGGGGACAUCUCGGGUCCACCCCUGCAGCGGGAGGGAGAUAGUGGGCUGAGGAAGGAGCGCCUCAGGCCCGGGCAGCCUUCUGUAGAGACGCUCUCGGCUGAGGGUGGCAACUUCCUGCAGCAGGAACGCAAAUGUGCUGGUUGUGCACAGCGCCCAGGGGUGGGAGAGGCCCCGGGAAUAAGAGGCGAGCGUGGGCUGGGUGUGUGGGGAAGGUGUAAACACAAUCUGCUCCCACCAGAGCCAGCCUGCUCCGUACGGGAGAGCACCCCCCCCCACCCAGCCCACACAGCGCCCCAGCUGCCAGGGUCCCCCGGCAGCCGCCGAGGCCGGGCGAGAACACAUUCCCCACCCCCAGCACCCCUUCCCCUGGCUUUCCCUCCCCUCUCCUGGGACAGAAGCCUGCAGGGGCCCCCAUCCCCUGAGCAGGUUCCUAGAAGAGUGCUGCCAAGGGGUGUCGCUUCGUGGAUGUGUGUCUGGGCCGCGAGCCAGCCCCUGUCCAGCCAGGGUGACCUUGGCCUGACAACUCCUCAGACUAGUGGAAGGAGACAGGGCAAUUUGGAAGUGGCAGGGAGCAGAGGCGAGGCUGCAGUGACAGGAACGUGGCGAGCACAGGACGAGCUCAAAGGUAGGAUCGGGGAGCGCAGGCUGGGUCCCCAGAGCAGUGCCCGCCGCCCCGCCCCCCGCCCCCGCCCCCGUGGCCCUCAGCCUGACAGCCCUGUCACCGGGGAAGGUGAGGCCUCGCAGGAGAAAGACAGGCUGACGGGAGCUGAGACAGGUGGUCACGAACUCCUGGGCCCGUGUCAGGUGGGCGGUGGGGCUCUGUCUCGUUCCAGCACAGAGCUCCUUUCCCUGGUGUGA